rnacentral:rRNA from 1 species
GACGAACGCUGGCGGCGUGCUUAACACAUGCAAGUCGAACGAAGAGCGAUGGAAGCUUGCUUCUAUCAAUCUUAGUGGCGAACGGGUGAGUAACGCGUAAUCAACCUGCCCUUCAGAGGGGGACAACAGUUGGAAACGACUGCUAAUACCGCAUACGAUCUAUCCCCGCCAUGAAGGAAAGAGAAAGGGUGGCUCUAACAGUUAGCUAUCAAUUGAGGGGGGGGUUGCGUCUGAUUAGCUAGUUGGGGGGGUCACGGCCCACCAAGGCGAUGAUCAGUAGGCGGUCUGCGAGGAUGAACGGCCACAUUGGGACUGGGACACGGCCCAGACUCCUACGGGAGGCAGCAGUGGGGAAUCUUCCGCAAUGGACGAAAGUCUGACGGAGCAACGCCGCGUGAGUGAUGACGGCCUUCGGGUUGUAAAGCUCUGUUAAUCGGGACGAAAGGCCUUCUUGCGAAUAGUGAGAAGGAUUGACGGUACCGGAAUAGAAAGCCACGGCUAACUACGUG